ACCAGGGCCUUCCUUUUGUGCAUCAGGAACUCAAUGCAUGUUUACUAAAUUAAAUCCUUAGACUAGAUUUCUCCAAGCCAAUUGUAAAUAACUGAGGUAAUCAAGGAGGUGCAUUACUUUUGUGUCUACCUGAAAUUUAUGACCCAACAUAUUUUGGGCACAUGUAGUUUACAUUGAUGAGAAUGAUCUGUGGAAUUGCGUCUGCUCUCUACGUCUACUUACCGAUGAAGGCAGAGUCUUUAAUCCUAGAGGCCAGUGUCCCUUCUUCCACCUACCAGUGUAUAGUAGAAGCAGCAGCAGCAGCAGCAGCAGCAGCAGCAGCAGCAGCAGGAGCUAGGAAUCUCUUAAUUGCUUUGUGCUUGUCAAGAUUAUGCAACUUUCCAGCUAAGUGAAGUCUACUCACCCCAACGGAGGAAUAAACCAACCGCAAAACAAACCUAUUAAGAGGCUGCUCAAGCCUGCCUUAAGUGAUCCAAAGCAGGGAACAAAGGCAUGUGUGCUUUGAAAGAAAGAUCUUCUGCAUUUCUGCUCUGAAAACAUUCUCAGGUCAACGUUGGAGAUACCUGUGGGCUCUGCUUGCAGGGAGGGAGGAAGUAGGAGCUGGUGCUGAAGUGAAGGCUCAAGGACUCCUGUUCAGGCUGUUAGAGAAUGCGGACCCCUGCAUCCUAUACUUUGAUUUGCUAAGUAUGGAAACCCCAGUAAGAUAAAGACUAGGGUCUUUCUUCUUUCUUCCACCGUUAGACCCUGCCCCUGAAGCAGACCCUAGAGAAGAUUAGAAGUCGAUUCACCGGGGAGGCGACCCAUAGCAGGGACCCGGUAGACCCUGGAGUGGGCAGGGUCUGUUGGUGAAAGAGGAAGGAGAAAAACGGUUAAUUGGAAAAGCUUGGAUUUUGAGAAUUCAAGAUCAUGGAAAACUGCCAGAAGGAAAUGGGUCUUCUCCUCUCCCAAAUGGUCCCAUAACUAGUCUGGCCACCUUGAGCCAUCCAAGAGGAGAAUGUGGUCAGGGACCGUGACUCAGCUUAAGAAGCUACAUUUAUAUCUAUAUCUACACACAUGUUCUACCGACUAUGACCACACCACCAUGGCCCAUGCCCAUACACCCACGUGUGAACCAAGAGGCAGGUAAUGUGCCGAUGACGACGUCUACAAGGUUUGAGGGAGGCACCUCUCAAAACCGAAUCAUCAUGCUUGCAAACUACAAAAGACUCUUUCUUGGUACUUUUCUUGUUUGAAAGUACCUACAUUUUGGGGCUCAAGACUCAGAAAGUCAGAGUGGAGAGUUGGGUGCCAUGCUCCAUUCUGCUUUUCCUGAAGUGCCUCAAAUGCUAGGCAGAGUCCCUGCACUCUCCGUGAUAGGAAUCUCCUCUGUGGCCAAAAUUGGGCCUCCGUUUUUUUCACCGCAGGAAUAUACAUGUCCUCAUGGCCGUCUCCUGCCUGGGCAGCAGCGAAGCCUCCCCAGACUGCUCUGCCCUGUGGAAGAAAAGGCCUAGGUCCUGCUGUUUUCCCAGUCUCCUUUCCUGGGAGGUGGCCAUGACUCGCUCCCAUUAACCUGGGCAGAGGCUGUUUCCCAUCUCUUCCUGCAUGAGUUACUUCAUGGAGCCUCGGAGGAGGAGCCCUGGACUCUGCUCGCCUGGGAUUCCUGCUGUUCUACCCACUGUCCACCCAGAAGCUCCCUUCCCCGGGUCUGACAUGACUUUCUCUUCUGAGCCAGGCCCAGCAGGAAGGAUGCGUUUGUGUUCGGCCCUGCAUUCCUGCAGUGUCCCUCGGGUGUGUGGCUGGAAAUGAUUUGUGUAAGGCACUCAGCCAGCCUCCCUUUUAAUCACUCCCAUACUCACAGACAGAGGGAAUCCCAGCCCCUCACCCAGGAGAGGGAAGGAACCUCCUUCAUUUUGACAGGGCCUCCCUCCGUGGUGGGGUAAGCAGUGAUUCUGGUCUCCAGGAAAGAUGCUUCCAAGAGCCUCUUUCUCUGAGGCCUAAUUAUGAAAUCGAUAUCUUCAGGAACCCCUCCUCCUUCCCUGGAGCUUCUGCAGGCAGACACUGCCCAGAUAAUGUUCAAACAUGCAUUGACCCGGCAGGGCUUCCUGAGCACCACUCUGGCUGGGGAGGAGGAUGGGAUCAGCUGGGCCUGGAAGAAUGGGCAGGGUUUGCUUAGGACGUUUCGGGGAGGCAGAUGGUGUAAGCUGGGGAUGGGGUGAGGAAGGGAGAGAGUUAGGGGCAGCUUGAGGGAAAUAGGGGUGUUUGUUGGGGAAGAGUGAGUGAUGACUGGUCAGAGUCCCAACAGCAAACAGAGGACACAAUUAAAAUGGGAUAGUUCCAGGAUAGUUUAUUUGCAUAGGUGUGAUCACAGGGAAACCACAAAGAAUAGUGCAGUUAACUGGUCUUAGUAAGAGCCAAGGUGUUAUCACCUCUAGGCACAAAGAGACAAAGACCAGAACAGAGAGUCCUGCAGAGCAACUUGACUUGGAAGGAACAGAAGACUUCAGUCCAGGGGCACAGUAAGCUGGAGGCAACCUUGCAGGGAGAGACCCAGGCAGAGCUGGAUUUGUAGUGACGCUGGCGAAGUUUAAGCUUCAGGAUCCCACGCUUGCACAGGUGACUUCCAAAGCCGGGAGGAGUUCUAGCGAUGUAUUCAUAUGUCACACAUUUUGUAAAUUUUGCAAAAGUAAGAUAGUUUCAUCCCAGUUUCCCUCCACUAUACAUAUCUCAUGGUUGGGUGGCUUUGGAGUCGUUGCGGGCAUUUUUAGGAUCUGGUUAAGGGGGAGAUGGGUUUUGGUUUGGUUGGGUAUAUGUAAGUUGCUCACAGCCACUUUUUUUUUUCUUUAGGAUGGAGUCUCACUCUGUCACCCAGGCUGGAGUGCAAUGGUGCAAUCUCAGCUCACUGCAACCUCCGCCUCCCGGGUUCAAGUGAUUCUCUUGCCUCAGCCUCCCGAGUAGCUGGGAUUACAGGUGUGCACCACCAUAGCCAGCUAAUUCUUGUAUUUUUAGUAGAGAUGAGGUUUUACCAUGUUGUCCAGGCUGGUCUCGAUCUCCUGACUUCAAGUGAUCCGCCCACCUCGGCCUCCCAAAGUGUUGGGAUUAUAGGCAUGAGCCACUGCACCCAGCCCACAGUCACUUCUGAAUAUACUUAAUUCAUCACUAGCUGUCCUGAUGUCAAAAUGGCUUUCAGGAAUACUCUCACCUCCAACUCACCUGGUGUCAUGACUUGAAGGUGAUGACAGGUCAUAUUGCAAUAUGUAUGUGGUUAGUGGAAGAGAACAGAGGUUUGUAAGGUAUGGAACCAGAAGAUAGCCUAUGGCAAAUUCUUCCCAUCAUCAGACGUACAAUUUUAAGUGGAGAAUUCAGUUCUCUUGGUCAGAAACAUAAUGUAGUACAUGCAACUCUAAAUACACCAUACUAUUUUCUCUUAAAAUGGAAUCUCACCCUUCAGAAAUUCUUAAACAUCUGUGUUUGUAGCCUAUAAGCAUAAUAACAUUUCAGAUCGUACCAAAAGUAGUAAUUUUUUAAGAAGAAGAAAGAAAAGGCAGGUAGAAAUAAAGGCCCUUGGACCAGCUGGUAAUCUUAUUGUUAAAGGAAAGUAAAACAUAUUAACUCACUGGGAAAAGCUUUACAUUUCUUGCUACUUUGAUAAAAAAUGCUGACAUCUUUGAAGCUGUCUUAGAUUGGGUUCCCUGGAGGCUGACCAUGAAAUGGAAAGUUGUGGGCCGGAGGCUUACCGUGGAGUGCUCUCAGGAGACAUAUGUGUGAGGAAAUGAGGAUGGCAGGAUUGGGAGAAGCUGAUCAGAAAUAUGGCCUCAGCCAAUCUGAUAUCCCCAGCAGCUGAAGGAUGGCUGUGUUGGCCUGAAGAGGGGAUCUGUGCGGUGGCCACAGCUCCCUCCACAGAUGAUAACGUAGGUCUCAUGAUACAUCACUACAAUGGGGACACCAAAGACAAACUGACUUCUCAUGUACAUCACUGCAAUGGGGACACCAAAGACAAAUGGACUUCUCAUGAUACAUCACUACAAUGGGGACACCAAAGACAAACUGACUUAUAAGUGUCAU
rnacentral:lncRNA from 10 species